UUCUACAAAACGCGGAACAACUCCAGAUUGAAUCACUUCCUCAAUGGGAGGGCUUCGUUCAAUCGAAAGUAAUUUCCGAAACUGAGUAGUUGCCUCCAGCUGAAGACUGCUAUUAUCAGACCAGACCCCCGCAACCAUAGACGGAAGGCUCUCUAACUUCUUCUCGACAGUGGAAGUGUGGACGGCAGAAGGAAACUGCUGGGCUUGAAGGCCUUCCCUACGCUUCUUCUGAAGACUCUCUUCGCGUUUACUCUUCCUGAUCUCGACCAUGUUAUCCUCUCGCCGGCGUCGGCCCUCUUCGGCAUCGACGGAGACCUUAUAACGGUUCCGUCGAACCUCGGUUCUUGCAGUCGGC
rnacentral:misc_RNA from 1 species